AGGACGAACGCUGGCGGCGUGCUUAACACAUGCAAGUCGAGCGAGGCCCUUCCUUCGGGAAGGUGCCCUAGCGGCGAACGGGUGAGUAACACGUGGGCAAUCUGCCCCUAGCACUGGGAUAACUCCGGGAAACCGGGGCUAAUACCGGAUAUGACCUCUGAGGGCAUCCUCUGGAGGUGGAAAGGAUCCUGGGCUAGGGGAUGGAGCCCGCGGCCUAUCAGCUUGUUGGUGGGGUAAUAGCCUACCAAGGCGACGACGGGUA
rnacentral:rRNA from 1 species